AUGUCUGUCAGUUGAUGGUGAUAUACAGGCUGAGAUGGACAUGGAAGAGAGAGAGAGGAUCUCUACCUCUUACUGUAACUCACAGUCACUCUCAGUGUGUUCUGUAUAACCAUGGUACUCUGUCUAAUCAUCUGGUUGGUUCUUGUUGUAUUCUGCUUCGAUUGUACAGGAGACAAUGUGAAACAGCAACCAGGAGUUGUGAUUGUUACAGAAGGAGGACUGGUAACACUGAGUUGUCAAUAUAACACCAGUGCUAAUAAUGCAUAUCUAUAUUGGUACAAACAAGAAGCAAAUGACUUCCCUAAACAUAUGCUGAGCCGUUAUUCAUUUGGAUCUGGAGACAACGCUGCAGGGUUCAAGGAGAGAUUUGAUGCCCGUCUCGAUGCAGACUCAAAAUCUGUCCCCAUGACGAUCCAGAGGGUGCAGCUGUCUGACUCUGCUGUGUACUACUGUGCCCUGCAGCCCACUGUGAGAGGAAACCUGUGCACACUGUACAAAAACCUGGAGAAAAAAACUGACAUCCCCUAGACAUCCCCUCAUUUUUUAUUUCAUCAUUACUUUGUGUAGACAAAAAACACACACUGAAAAUGAACAAUGAACGAUUUUCAAUGAACAAUAAAACACAAAUGUUAAAAAUGUU